rnacentral:rRNA from 1 species
GCCUUAAAUCAAUUACAUCUCGACUUACACAUGCAAGUCUCCGCGCCCCCGUGAGAACCCCCUUCACCCCGCCUGGGGUAAGGAGCUGAUAUCAGGCACAACAGCCGCCCAAGACAUCUAGUUACGCCACACCCACAAGGGCACCCAGCAGUGAUUAACAUUAAACAUAAACGCCAGUUUGAUUUAGUUAGAGAAAACAGAGCCGGCUAAUCUGGUGCCAGCCGCCGCGGUCACACCAUGAGGCUCAAUUUGAUUUGCCACGGCGUAAAGCGUGAUUAAAGAAUACACCCACCUGAGGUUGAACUUAAAUUAAGCCGUCAAACGCUUGUUACAAGGAAGCCCACACCCGAAAGAUACCUCAUAGGAUACUUGAACUCACUAAAACUAGAACACAAACUGGGAUUAGAUACCCCACUAUCUCUAGUCGUAAACUUUAACUUACACCCCCCCC